rnacentral:tRNA from 1 species
GGCCUGAUGUUUUGGAAACAUUGGACCUUGAAUGUCCACUU